rnacentral:rRNA from 1 species
AGUCGAGAAUCUUCGGCAAUGGGCGAAAGCCUGACCGAGCGAUGCCGCGUGCGGGAUGAAGGCCCUCGGGUUGUAAACCGCUGUCGUAGAGGAGAAAGGUCUGAUGAAGAAUCAGAUUUGAUCUAUUCUAGGAGGAAGUCGGGGCUAAGUUCGUGCCAGCAGCCGCGGUAACACGAACCCGACGAACGUUAUUCGGAAUUAUUGGGCUUAAAGGGUGCGUAGGCGGUGCGGUAAGUGCGGUGUGAAAGCCCUCGGCUCAACCGAGGAAUUGCGCUGCAUACUGCCGUGCUGGAGGGAGACAGAGGUAAGCGGAACUGAUGGUGGAGCGGUGAAAUGCGUUGAUAUCAUCAGGAACACCGGUGGCGAAAGCGGCUUACUGGGUCUCUUCUGACGCUGAGGCACGAAAGCUAGGGUAGCGAA